rnacentral:tRNA from 1 species
CGAAAAUGUUAGUUUAAACCCUUCCCGUACUA